UGGGGAAUAUUGGACAAUGGGCGAAAGCCUGAUCCAGCCAUGCCGCGUGUGUGAAGAAGGUCUUCGGAUUGUAAAGCACUUUAAGUUGGGAGGAAGGGCAGUAAGCGAAUACCUUGCUGUUUUGACGUUACCGACAGAAUAAGCACCGGCUAACUCUGUGCCAGCAGCCGCGGUAAUACAGAGGGUGCAAGAGUUAAUCGGAAUUACUGGGCGUAAAGCGCGCGUCGGUGGUUCGUUAAGUUGAAUGUGAAAGCCCCGGGCUCAACCUGGGAACUGCUUCAAAAACUGGCGGGCUGGAGUAGGGCAGAGGGUGGUGGAAUUUCCUGUGUAGCGGUGAAAUGCGUAGAUAUAGGAAGGAACACCAGUGGCGAAGGCGACCACCUGGGCUCAUACUGACACUGAGGUGCGAAAGCGUGGGGAGCAAACAGG
rnacentral:rRNA from 1 species